CUUGGACAUGGAUUGUUUCUUCGAUGCAGAUGAGGAUCAGCACGAGCGAGGCGUGGACUAUUUGCCUGCAAGUGUAGGACCCUGUUCCACACGAGAGGAUACCAUCUUUGGUCACAGCCCAUACUUGCCGACCUUGGGACCGUGGAGAUCCGCCACCACAGGGUGCAUUAUUCAACAUGCAGAUACUCUCCAGAAGCAUGAACCCUAACCUUUAACAGUGGGAACGAUACACAGCAUAUCGACAGUUUGUCCGCUUCUGCUGGGGAUAUCUGUGAAAGGAGAUAAAGGUGGCACUACCAGCUUGUGUAGUACAUAAGAUUAUGGACUACACGGGGUUCCAAGACGUGCAGUGACUGCAACAGAAUCCACAUGGCCACUGUAGUUAACGCUUAGCGAAGCGACUCCUGUGCUUGGCGAGGGCUUCCUCCUUGUCUGGCUUCUCCAGUUCAUCGCAGAGGAAGGGAAGCACAUCCACGGUGACGCUGACUGGUGUUCUCUCGUCAGGGGUCUGUCUGCAGCCAGCAACAACCUCCCUGAUAAACUCAUGGAGAGUGAAACUUGACAGUGUUAUUAUCAUGUUACAAAGUGUGAAGUGUUUUCAUGUUUUGUGUCCUCUACACUUAUGGUAUGUUGGCUCUGUCGCAAUUUUCUUGACCACAUGGCCCCCUGCUUUAUACUUCGGGUAGCGUACUGCAUAGAGCUCAGCGCCCGCUUGUGUAGUGGCUAUGGGGCGGCUUGAGUUUUCAUUCCAGUGCAGCCCAGCAAGCAGGGUCCUAGGUGUGGUAACAGAAUAAUGUAAUAAUUAGACAUCGUGUACUUUACUCAGCAGUGAGAACAGAUACACUUGAACAUGUGUGUUUAAUGAUGUCAUAUAAUUAUAUGCAAAAGUACUAAAGUAUGGCACACACUAGUGACACUUAGAUCAGAGUGCAAACAUACCUGCCCAGCAUUCCGAUGUAUGACAAGAAAUACAUUUUCGGUGCAAACUGUAUAAGACAAAAGACACUUUAUUCAGUCAUGCGUCCAUACAAUGUGUGUGUAAAUGUAUAAAUUGUUUGUAAAUUUGAAUACAAUUGUUUGUGCAUUAAACUGUUUAGAGUCAGCUAUUAAAGAUUGAUC